GGUGCAGUAAUUUGGUCUAGCAUCUUGAGAGGCUUGUGAUACUUUUGUUAUCUGAGUACUAGACUAGGUGUUGGUAGUCUCGGGUGAGCAGCAAAGCUUACAAAGCUAGAUUAUUGAUCCAGAUGCAGCUGGAACUACAGAAAGACAGCAAAAAGCUCCUAAAAGGCCUAUUCGUAUUAGUGCUUGGAAGCUUGCAAAGUUAGACUCCAAUGAUGCCAUGAGAGCGGCAAAGCUUGCCAAGCUAGACUCCUUAAGUAAAUUCCUGGGUGUAUAUUGCUAGGAGAGUACUAUUAGAUGUACUCCUUUUGUGGAUAAAAGAUUACCUUUGCACAAUCCAUUUUGGUGCAUGAUGUGGAUUAUAACAAUUUCUUCUAUAUAUUGAUCAGUUACUGUUAAUUUGGUCA